CCCCCCCCCCCACCACAACCAGAUCCAACAGCACCAGAAACCCCACCACAACCUCCAUCAACACCACCCAAAACAGCACCCACUCCUACUCCAACUCCAGGUUCUGCAUCUGACCCGGUAUUAUACACUUCUCUGUGCACUGGGCUGUUGGCUGUAGUGGCUGUGUGUGCAGCAGCAUUUCUGGUGAGCAGGAAGAGGGGAAGAGCAUGUGGAAAAAGAGAUGGACAACUGACUCAGACAGACACAUCACAGACAGGAAACUUAACAUAUGCUGAGGUUGCUCAACGCUCUCAAGCACACGCCCUCCCUCCUAACGCUGCAGACAGUGUUACCUAUGCCACCAUCAACAUCACCCAUCAGGCCUAAAUCAAGAAGAGAAACCAAAUAAGAGUUAUAUUCAUCGGGUGUGUGACAUGAAAGUGCAAGUGUGACAGAGCACAGCACGUCUGUCACUGGCAAUAGCAGCUGCACUAUUAAAUACUGCAAAUACUGCACUAUUAAUUAAUGUCAUGAGGUUGGUCUGUUUGAUGCUGUUACAUGUAUAUUAUUGGUGUUUAAAGGAGAAUUGACCUUAGCUGCACUGAAAGAUGUUGCCGAGUACUUACAUGUGUCCAAUAGGCACCUUCGGUCACCCCCUAGUAUUCCGCCGAUUUUCUCCGAACUUGCAUAA